rnacentral:rRNA from 1 species
UGUGUAGGCGGUGCUCUAAGUCUGUCGUGAAAUCUCCCGGCUUAACUGGGAGGGUGCGGCGGAAACUGGAGUGCUCGAGGGUGGGAGAGGAAAGCGGAAUUCCUGGUGUAGCGGUGAAAUGCGUAGAUAUCAGGAGGAACACCUGCGGUGUAGACAGCUUUCUGGACCACUUCUGACGCUGAGACACGAAAGCGUGGUAGCAAACA